GGACAGGUGGCAGAGUGGUCGAAUGCACUAGUCUUGAAAACUAGCGUGGGUGCAAGCCUACCGUGGGUUCGAAUCCCACCCUGUCCG
rnacentral:tRNA from 1 species